CCCAACCAACCAAACCUCAGAAGACAUUUGUAAGUAGCAUGGCUUCACCUGGGCUAUUUUGCUAAAGCAAAGCUUGCAAUAACUCGGCUCAGUUGCAGAUGCCAGGGAGCAGCCAGAGCAGCCGCAGAUUUAUCCUUGUACGUGGGCAUUUUGAAUCAAACGCGGGUGACCCGCACUCAGCCUUAGCAACCAAAAGCAGCCAAUUCUGCGUCGGAUAAACACCCCUGGUGCUGUUGAUGCUGAUGUACGAGGUGCCGCCCACCCGAGCCGCUUUGCUGUUGCAGCCCCCGCGUUCCCCGCCGCCUCCUGCGUUGUCUGUUCCAUUGGUGCCCUCUGCUGUCCGCUGCGUCCAGCGCUCGAUUUCCACCGGGCCUCACGGAUUUUAAACCCGGUUCUGAAAAUCUUUUGCUUUUGAAAAUAUGCAGAAAGAAAUGAUAUCAUUACGCAUUGGUUUAUUAACGUACAAGUUACACCCUGACGUUAAACAAGGAAACACAGAAUAUCCCAGAACAAAGGUAUGGACAUCCAUGUCUCUCAUUUUCUGACUAUGUUCUCAUCCGACAAUUAAGGUGGAAAAAUGGCAUUUUCAGGGCUGCUUAGGCAUCUUAAGUCUCCAAAACAAUUAAUCCACUAAAGAUUUGAGCCAUUCUCCCGCAUUUCCUUGUUUGAAAAUAGUUAAUUCAACAACUCUUUCAAUAUGUUUUUUUUUUAGCUUAUAAAGAAUCAGUCCAUCUGGUUUUACACAAGGGAAAGAAAGGCCAGACAGUUUCAGGUGUAUUCUGACAGCUUCUGAGUUCUCCAGUACUGAGUGCAGGGAUACUUCUGUGGGCCCAAGCACAAGAGCGUCUGUGGACACAGAGCCCCCGACCUCGCUGGAUUCCCCUUGGAGCGCUGCAGUUCAUCGUACGGUUGUGCUGACGGGUUUGGGGUUUGUUCUGUGGAUGUGACCUAACUGCUCUUAGAAAAACCACCACUGCUGGCCACAUGGGUUUCUGAUUGUGAGCAAGAGACAGUGAGCAACCGGAUUUGUCUCUUGCUCAACCUCGAGCACUGUAGAAGUUUUGUAGUGUCAGUGGGGUUGAUCCGAAAUCAGGACUCACAUCCCUCACUGACCUGCAGUCCAGGGUUGGGACACAACAGUGAUGUUCUUCUCCCCCCCUCCAAAACAAAAAUAUGACUGCUCUCCAUUGUCCAACUCUAAUCCUUCGUCUAACUGAUCUGUUUGUGAAUUAAAGCUGAAUUCACGCUAAUUCCAAUUUUAGAAUAUGCUCAAAGACUCUUGACCCACUGGUGUGAUCACACAGCUCCACAAGAACCGGCCAGAUUUUGUUUUUGAUAAAGGUUGCUGUGAGCAGAUCAUCUGUACAGCGGUAAAUAUGUUCUCCACUUUUGGCUAUCCUAGCAACUUGAAGCUAAUUGGCUGUGCUCUGACUUGGUAACCCAAAUAUUUAAAACCAGGAGUGGUUAAAGUUUAAUCCAGUGUCAUGAGCGCAAUAGAAGCUGUGUGUCAGGAUUCAUUCGUCACCUGGAGAAGGUGGCGGUACCACUGGUGUCGUGUGGUCUCCCGUGGAACACGGGAUGUGUGAGCCAGACCUCGUUUGGGGUCGAAAGUAAGAUUUUUGCACCAUGAACAGCUACCCAAACUGCUCCACUAACUACACUAGAAUCUGGAGUCACCAUUUAGUGCUCGCGCUGGGCAUCCCUCAGCUGACCAUGAACAUAGCAUCUGUGAUCUUCAACUGCACGGUCAUCGUCACCAGAAUGGUGACAAAGGAUCUGCACAAGCCCAUCUCCAUACUCUUCUGCAAUCUGGCUUUUUCUGAUCUCUUCACCAGCUUUUCCGGCUUUUGGAUUUCAGUACUUUUCAUCACCAACCCUGACAUUACAAUCUUUGGAUCCAAGGAUACGCUUGCACCUUAUGCCUUGCACACUACAUCUAUUUUAUCCACCAUCUAUAACUUGGUAAGCAUUGGAAUUGAGCGCUACCUGGCUGUGGCUGAAAGCAUGAGGACAAGGCUCAGGGUUUCUCGAAACCAUUCCAUAGCUGCGGUUUUAAUUAACUGGGUCCUUGCUUUCUUUUUUGGCUGCUUGCCGUUGAUGGGCUGGAACUGCUUACAUGCAGAAAAGAAUAUCUCUGUCCUCUACAGUCCCUUUUGCGUCAACUACCUCAUCUUCAUGAUCAUUCCCCAUAUUGUGGUGGCGUUUGUUAUACCUCUGUUCACUUACCUUGGAAUCAUUAUCAUCCUGAGGAAAAGAAAACUGCGCAUGAAAGCGUGUGGACAAGCUACGGGCACCUACAAAUCGGCUGAAAUCCAGGUUGCCAGGACAAGUAUUUUCAUUUGGCUCCUGGGGCUGAUCUCCUACGCUCCUUUUGUCGCAGGCGUCAUAUUCGAUGCAACCAACCACCAGUGCCACACCGAUCUCUACCCGGGCAUCUACAUCUUCCGAAACUGCACGGCGAUGCUGAUAACCACAAACUGCUUGGGAAACCCCGUCAUAUACACCCUGAAAGCCAAACCCCCGGCGGCUGCGCUCAAGGCUCUGAAAUGUCUGUCCCUGAGCCGAGCUCGAGCCUGCGCCAUCGAGCACACGUAGCGGGGACCGGUGUGCUCAGAGCAUCCCGGCCAGGGGACGGCUCCGGGGCACGGAAACAGCGCCGGGACUGAGCACUGGAGCUCUGUGCCUUCUCUCUGCAUCUUUCCGUGUCUCUGGCAGUGGUGCUGAGCGCCGGUGUUUUGCAGCUUUCCUCGGUGGAGCUGCUUCACUCACAGAUAACAAUAUCUCCGUUAGCCGUAGAAUCGUGUUUGCUUUCUGUCUGAAAACAGUCUGCGGUUGCGCUCGCUUUGCCGCUGCGAUUUGCCCCAUUUUUGUGUUAUUUGUGUGGUUUGGGGGACAGCUACGCGGCUAGAAAAUUUUCAGUGGUGUGGGGGAAACGUAAUUCUGCUUUCUCAUUUACAGCCAGUCAAAUUGUAUCUUUAAAUACUUGAUGAAUGUGUUUAUCAAUGGGGCACUCAGCACUGUUUCGCUGUUGUAAUUGUGAAUGCAGUAUGCAGCUGGAUAACGCUUUUUGUGAGACGGCUGUGACUACGCUUUUCAUAUUUCUGCUUAUAAAUAGAGGCACAUUUGAGUCCAUGGAUUUUGAAAUUUGCGUUGAUUUAGAAGAAACCCCAGUAAAAAUUAAUGUUUAUUCUUAUUAACAAGGGGAAAUUAUCUAGAAGAAUCCCAAUACUUAAAUUUCUUCUCUUUCCUCUUGCACAGUUACCAAUGUAGAAGCCUUGAUGGAAUAGAUCCUGGUGACAUCAGCUUGUGUUUGGGGUUUGCAGUGUGUUCGACUGUUGCUCAGUGGUCUGACACGGGUGUGAUAAACCACAUUGUGAUGGUGUUCUCACAGUCGUGAAACAGACACACACACAGUCCAACCAACAUCGGCCCUUCCAGGACAAGUCGCGAUUUUCAGGGAUUUAUUUAUGGUUUGUUUUCUUUGUUCUGAUUUUUUCAGCGUUUCAAAAGCCUCGAGUGAACUAAGAACAAAGUCCCGUUAGUCUGUUUGUGAGCAGGUAUGAGAAAAGAGCCCGUUUGUGUUAGAAAUGGGUUCACUGUCUAAUGUUACGUUAACAAAUCCGCUACUGAGCGGUUUAUGUUCUUUGCCACCAAACCCCUCUGUGCCACUUUACCCUGCAGAGCUGUGGGAGAACUUUCGUCUCAGUUUUAAUUCAGGCAUUUAGGAAAAUGGAUGGCACUAAAUGACACAUAAUUAGAAUGAAUUAUUUGAAUGGAUAAUGUAAUUCGGGCAAGACAAUUGGGGCUCUUUUAUACCAAAUGCCCCGUCUGUGUUUUCCGGUAACUCGGCCACCAACAACCUCAGGACACCGCACAUGUAAUGACAGGAGACUCAACCCAAACUUCCCGCGGGCAGGUGGUGAAGAUCAGCCUGGAGCUGGCUGUAUGGUGUGAUAUUUAUUAGGUAUUUAUUUAGGUGAUAUUUAUUAUUAUUCACCUCCGGAUUUACAUGGGCGAGGUGGUUGUAGUGACCGGAAUAUUUAACAUAUCACUGUCUAUUGCAGUGGUUGUUAAUUCGAAAGUAGGGUGAGAGCUGGAAAACAGCCGGAACCUCCCCCUGCAUUACAUGGAUAUUGAAUAACCGCUGGGCUCGGCCCGCCCGCCGCUCGGCGGUUGACUCGCCAGCCUGGGUGGAGGCGCUCGGCGCUCCGCUGGCCGCGAGUGACGUGAAGCGAGCGCCAUGAGGGCACCGCGGCCGUGCGGAGUGUGCGGGGCGGCCGGGGCGGCCCCGUACCGGUGUCCGCGCUGCGCCGCGGCCUAAGCGAUGCGCGCCGGAGCCGCGGCCGGAGCCGGAGCCGGAGCCGGAGCGGGCGGGCGGGCCGGGCGGCCCCGUUGAGCAGCGGGCAGGCGGCCCCUGGUCGGUGGACGACAUCCUGACGGACGGGGACGAGCAGGACCGCGUCCCGCUGCACCGGCUGCGGCGGCUCGCGGAAUCGGAAGAACUGAGAGCCUUGCU